GGACGAGUCAGAAACCGUUGAUGUAGGCGAAGGACAUGCGAAAGGUCCGGCGUAGAGGGUAAGACCCCCGUAGUCGAAACGUCAGCGGCUCGUUUGAGAGACACCCAAGUAGCACGGGGCCCGAGAAAUCCCGUGUGAAUCUGGCGGGACCACCCGCUAAGCCUAAAUAUUCCCUGGUGACCGAUAGCGGAUAGUACCGUGAGGGAAUGGUGAAAAGUACCCCGGGAGGGGAGUGAAAUAGUACCUGAAACCGUGUGCCUACAAGCCGUGGGAGCGUCGGA
rnacentral:rRNA from 1 species